GAUGAACGCUGGCGGCGUGCCUAAUACAUGCAAGUCGAGCGAACAGACGAGGAGCUUGCUCCUCUGACGUUAGCGGCGGACGGGUGAGUAACACGUGGAUAACCUACCUAUAAGACUGGGAUAACUUCGGGAAACCGGAGCUAAUACCGGAUAAUAUAUUGAACCGCAUGGUUCAAUAGUGAAAGACGGUUUUGCUGUCACUUAUAGAUGGAUCCGCGCCGCAUUAGCUAGUUGGUAAGGUAACGGCUUACCAAGGCAACGAUGGGUAGCCGACCUGAGAGGGUGAUCGGCCACACUGGAACUGAGACACGGUCCAGACUCCUACGGGAGGCAGCAGUAGGGAAUCUUCCGCAAAGGGCGAAAGCCUGACGGAGCAACGCCGCGUGAGUGAUGAAGGUCUUCGGAUCGUAAAACUCUGUUAUUAGGGAAGAACAAAUGUGUAAGUAACUAUGCACGUCUUGACGGUACCUAAUCAGAAAGCCACGGCUAACUACGUG
rnacentral:rRNA from 1 species